ensembl:lncRNA
GGAGAGGCCGGGCUUCCUGCCGUCCCCAGAGGAGGGGUGCAGGACAACAAGCAGAAUCGGGCCUCCCCUCCCGGGCAGACUGCAAAGGGCCCCACUUUCUGAAGCAGCAGAAAUCACCGCCGCCCUCCCUGUCCGCAGCGGUGGACGCACAGGAGCCACCCCUUCCCAGACCUCAGGGCCGGCCCACAGCAGGCAGGACUUCCCGCCCGGGGCGUGUGAGCAGGAGUCACGUGUCUGCUGACAGCUCGGAAUCAGCCGGAGGGGAACAUGCCUUCCCUGCAGGCCUGCCUGGCAGCCCAGCUGGGUGCACCAGGCCCUGGUGCUCGCAGCAACCCACGGCAACAUGCUCAUUUUUCAAUUGUUUUCAGAGAAAACGUCAACUCCAAGGGUCCUGGGAGUCGACUUAAAUGUGUAUGAGCUCUGUACAGGCCAAGGGUGUGGUGCGGCAGUGAAAUGACCCGAAGGCGCGGCCAUGCAGCCGUGAGGCUUCUCAAGUUGGUCACACGUAUGCAGUGUGAACACUCGGUGUGCAGCUGGUCUCCUGGCACCAAAGCUUUGCUCUCAGCAUCAUCUAGUGAUGAGUGUGAUGCCACCAACAUCUUGGCCUUGUCUGUGCACCGAAGCCAAACGAAAAAUACAGAGACAGAGUUUGGAGGAGACGGAAAGGUGGCUUUAGUCCCCAGCCAGCAGAGGGGAGACUCAGCAGGCACGUGUCCUCAGGAGCUGGAGCCCCCUCCAUGAGGAGUCUGGGGGAUCAUACAGAUGAGGGCGCGUGGUCAGAGGGCAGUGAUGAAAAUCAGUGGCGUAAGGAUCUUGUGUUCUUCCUCCUCUGGAGUUGGUCUUGCAGGGUCACGGGCUGGUGUCAGGUAGCAGGGGAUUGGGUCUGGCUGUCUGGCAACCCAGUAGCUGGAUCCAUUGGCUUUUGUGUAUUGUACCAUGGCUUUCGUUCUGUAAUGCAAAAAGAGAAAAACUGGGCGGGGAGGGCUGAGACGAGUGUGCCUGAUAAACAUAAAGGUAAAGUAUCAGGUAAAGGUGAGGACCACGUGCAGGACGCAGUUAGCAUGGAGUCAAGGAUGAUGGGUGUAAAGGUAGCUCAAGCAGAGUUACAGUCCACAGGCCAGUAACCUUUAAUCCACCUGCAACGCGGGAGAGCCGGCCCGCCAGGCUCCUCUGUCCACGGGAUUCUCCAGGCAAGAAUACUGGAGUGGAUUGCCAUUUCCUACUCCAGGGGAUCUUCCCAACCCAGGAAUCGAACCCAGGUCUCCUGCAUUUCAGGCAGAUUCUUUACUGACUGAGCUAUGAGGGAAGCCCUAUCACAAACCUAGAUAGCGUAUUAAAAAG